rnacentral:tRNA from 1 species
UGGGUUGUGGCUCAGUGGUAGAGCACUUGCCUCGCAUGUGUGAGGCCCUGGGUUCAAUUCUCAGCACUGCAU